rnacentral:lncRNA from 1 species
CAACCCCCCCCUCUAUUGCCAGUUUCUCACUAAAGUGAAGAUACACAAGACUAGGCACAGCGUUGGGUCUGUUCAUUCUGCAGAUUCUACAAACAUUCAUCCAUCACCCGCUAUGGACCAAGCACUAGGUUGAACCAAGUGAUACACGGAUGCUGGUGCCAAAAAGGUCUUUGUGCGCAAGGUCUGGGUUUUCGCCACUCUGAGUCCCCAGGGCCAGGUUCCUGUUGCAGCCUGGAGCCGGAAAAGAAUCUGGGAGGAAGAGGUUGGGUGUUGGGGCCAGCAGACUAGGGGACGACAGAUCCUGCCCUGCCACUCAUUUGCUGUGCAACUCUCAGCAAAGCACCCAACCUCUCCGAGCCCUCGCUUCCCCAUCUGUGAAGUGGGGAUCAUAAGGCCCAUCCUGCAAGGUGGUUUCCGCGGUGAAAAUAGAAAACGAGGCCUGUUCCUACAGCCUGUGUGUCUUGGGAGGAACUGCUCAUCAUCUGUGAUCCUUUUUUACCUGAUUACGGGAAAGGGGAGUGAUCUGCUCACUGACCCCCGGCUGGGCUUUUCCCUGCCAGUGAAAUCAUUUGAAAUUGUCCAAGGAAAUCAGGAACCUGAGCCGACGCAGAGUCACCGAGCUUGGUGCCAAGCACUGGGGGAGCUCCAGUUACAGAAAACAAGUGGAAUCCACAGGCCCCGGGCUGAACGUGGAACUAAUUUGGGAGGCAAUGAGAAAGAGCGGAACAUAACGCGGAGCCCGGGAGGCAGGUCUGCCCUGAGUCAGGACGCCAUCCGGGGGGGUAUCUGGGGCCCCUUGAAAUUUUCAAGGUCCUGCUUCUGAAGUGGGGAGAGCCGGGACAUGAUGGGGACCCACUUCGGAAUCUCAGGAUGGCUGUGCAGAGACUCAGGGCACGGGCCUGGGGUCGGAGCAACUGCAAUCACAUCCUGACUUGCCCCCUCGAUGCUGUGUGACCCGGGGCCUGUCGCUUCACCUCUCUGAGCCUCAGCUGCCGCAUCUGUGAAUGUACGAUCUAGGGAUCCCUCCCUCAGAGGGCUGCUUCAUAGAAGGCUCAGUACCAUGCCAGGCACGUAAGCCACUCUCAGGAAAUCAGACAUGUCGAGACAUGACAUCGGGGGUUGGGGGCAGCAUUAGAGGAGCAAAGACCAGUAACGUCUCCCCCAUUCAUCUGUUCGUUCAGCAGAUACUUAAGAACAUGCAACCUGUGCCAGACUGAGGAACACAGGAGGGAACAAGACAGACCUAGCCCCACGCAAAAGGAAACAAAUAGUGUGUACCUAAUUGCAAUCAUCGUUUGAAGGAUAAGAACAGGGUGCUUGGAUAAAAAAAUAACUGGGGCGGGCUAGGCAUGGUGGCUCACGCCUGUAAUCCCAGGACUUUGGGAGGCCGAGGUGGGCGGAUCACCUGAGGUCAGGAGCUCGAGACCAGCCUGGCCAACAUAGAAAAACCCCAUCUCUACUAAAAGAUACAAAAAUUAGCCAGGCAUGGUGGUGGGCACCUGUAGUCCCAGCUACUGGGGAGGCCAAGGUGGGAGGAUCGCUUGAACCUGGGAGGUGGAGGUUGCAGUGAGCUGAGACCGUGCCACUGCACUCCAGCCUGGGCAACAGAGUGAGACUCCGUCUCAAAAAAAAAAAAGAAAAGAAAAAGUAAAAGUAAAGAGACAAUGCACCCAAAAUUUGGAUAGAUGGAAGGAUAGAGGGAUGGAUAUGUGAUCACUCAAAUUUAGUAAAAUGUUAGUGAGUUGAUGUUGCUGUUUCAAAAUUUUCAUAAUAAAAUGUUGGGGGAAAGUAACAAAACCAAGAAGAAAAAGAGGUAGAAACAAAUUCUUUAACAGCUCUCUUUUCCUACGGAACACUGUCCAGGUGCUUAGCCGGGCAGCCAACACACAAAUCCUUGCCUCACGCCCCAAACUCACUCUAAGUGUGUAGCCCUGGGCACACCCUCAAACCUCUCCGAGGCUGCAGUCCUGGUCUCGUAGGAAGUGAGAGGCCAUCCUCCGGGAGAGGCAAGGCUGAGAUGCACACAGUUGUUUUCAGAGCAGCAAGGCCACUUCGGCAACACCCAGAGCUUAGGGAGGACGUGGUCAACCAGCCUUUACUGGGGCCUGG